AAUCACACAAUUAUGUAGCCUUUUCAGAUUGGCUCCUUUCAGUUAGUAAUAUGCAUCUAAGGUUCCUCCACGUCUCUUUAUGGCUUAAUAGCUCAUUUCUUUAUAGUGCUAGAUAAUAUUCCACUGUCUGGACGUACCACAGC